UCCCAUGUGGCUCAGUUGGUAGAGCAUGGUGUUUGCAACGCCAGUGUUGUGGGUUUGAUUCCCAUGGGGGAC
rnacentral:tRNA from 1 species